rnacentral:rRNA from 1 species
UACAGAGGUGGCAAACGUUGUCCGGAUUUAUUGGGUGUAAAGGGCAUGUAGGUGGUUUUGUAAGUCAAAGGUGAAAUGGCCCGGCUUAACCAGGUCAUUGCCUUUGAAACUGCAGGACUUGAGUACGGAAGAGGAAAGCGGAAUUCCCAGUGUAGCGGUGAAAUGCGUAGAUAUUGGGAGGAACACCGGUGGCGAAGGCGGCUUUCUGGUCCGAAACUGACACUGAGAUGCGAAAGCCAGGGGAGCAAACGGG